AAGUUGGCAAAGAAACACAAGUGGGCAAUUCUCAGAAGUCCUAGUGGAGCUGGUGUGGUGGUACACACCUGUAAUCCCUAAGUAUGGGAGGCUGAGGCAGGAAGAUCACAAGUUCUAGCCCAGUUUGGGCAACUUAAUGAGACCCAGUCUCAGAACAUUAAAAAAGGGCUGAGGGUGUAGCUCAGGGUGAAGAAAGAGGAGGAAGAAGGAAAAGGGAAAUACCAGCUGAUCUGUGCAUGACCAGGCCUCACACUGUCCCCGAGAGGAGUGCGUGUUUAAGGGAAAAUGUCUUCACCUGCCGGGUUAGCGACCUGGUCCCAAGUGUGGAAGGCGUGAAGGAAUUGCCAGUUUGAAGGAGGGAUUCACUCCCCGGAACCCAAUUUAGCAACCAUGUUCAACAAAAUGAAAACAAGCUCAUGCACAUGGAUCCAGCAGUUCCUUUUCCAUGAUUGGGAUCGCGUGGGUGGAAUCUUCGGGUGAGGUGGAACUCCGGCCUUUUGGCAGAGAUGUUUCCUGGCUGGCUGCCCAGGGUGUGCCGAGUCAGGAAUGGGAGGGCAGCCCUGCCCAACCUCCAGCCCUGGAGAGGUGCGAUCAGGUUCCUGGCCAACAUGAGGUGAGCAGCUUCUUCCGCCACAUCCUUCCACCAUGAUGUUUCCACCUCACCACAGACCUGAGAGUAAUGGAGCUGGCUGACCAUGGACUGAAACCUUUGAAACCAUGAGCCAAAAUGAAUUUCUCCUUGAAGUUGUUUAUCUCAGCCUCCUGCUUGCAGAGAUCGCCAGAUCAACACCUUCCCCAGGGCCCUUGGAACCUGUGCUCAUCCUGCCCAGGGCCCAUGGGCCAAGACUCACCGGGCUCUGGUGCCACCUGACAGUCUCACCCCUCCUCCCGACAGGCUUCCUGCCAGAGGCAUUUGUGACAGAACAGCUGAUAUCCAAACAAGGCUGUACUUCCCAGCUUCUUUUGUGGCUGAGCGUGUUCACGACAGAGUUGUGGCCAAGGCCAAUGGGACACACAUGGAGUUUUGUAUGAGAUCUUCGGGCUGCAGAAUUACUCAUCAGCGCUGGAAGCCUGCCCCCGCCAUGCUGUGGUGACCCUCAUCCCAGCGAGGCUCCCUCAGCUGGGCAGCCGUCUGCCCUGCGGUGAGGGGAAGGAAUUCAGCGUGAACUCUGCUCACUCAGCAGCCAGCCUCAAGGAGCUUGGGCUGUGGAAAAUCACAUGUGUUUUUCGAGUUGUUGGAAACCAAGGAAAUUGCUCCUCCAGUUGUGAAGUUGGCCAGAACACUGCCUGGAAGACCCCAGGUACCCACAGCUUGAGGAACCGCCCCUCCACAUGGGCUUGAGUAGGUGAGCCACUGGUGACAUCAGAGCGUCUGGGCUAUAGAGAAGGGGAUGUUGCUGUCUGGUCACCUCUUUGGCUCCAGAGCCCCUGAGAACAGGGACCCCAGGGCCCUGGUAAGUCUGUGUCUGCUGACCAAGGCUUCCUGGGCUGUCUGUCCAGCUCCAAGAUACCCCCAAAUGCAUGCCCUGGUGCUGGACAGCGGAGUGGGGAGUGAGUUCAUACAAGACUGGCUGCUGGGCCAUCUGCACACAAGGGUUCACUCUGCAGCAGCCUGACCUUGUGUGUCUCAGCUGCUGCCACAAAGGCCCGAGAGGGCUCAGGAUCUGGGGUGGGUUGGAAGGGACCACUCCUGGCCCCAGGCCCUGGCAGCCUC
ensembl:lncRNA